ensembl:lncRNA
ACCUGCAGGUGCCCCCAUAUCUCUCCCCAACAAAACAACUGGGAUCCCUUAUUGUUGUGGUGGUUUUAGUUGCUAAGUCAUGUCCAACUCUUUGCAAUCCCAUGGACUGUAGCCUGCCAGGCUCCUCUGUCCAUAGCAUUCUCCAGGCAAGAAUACUGGAGUGGGUUGCCAUUUCCUCCUCCGGGGAUCUGCCCAACCCAGGGACUGAACCCAGGUCUUCUGCAUUGGCAGGCAGAUUCUUUACCACUGAGCCACCUGGGAAGCCCAGCUGUGAUGUCUGGCUCUGUUUUUCACCCUCUCCUCUUGGUUAUGCUGUUUCCCCAGACCCUUUAUAAAGACAGUUACCCCACAGAAGUUGUAUGCGUUAAGCCAGGAAUUCUCAGCCUAUGCCUCCAGCCAGGCUGCACACCUGCCAAUACAGUGUUCCCAGGCUGCCGGAUGUCUCGGGCCCAUCUCCUCAGAGCCGUGACCAGGACCAGGGAGGAAAACGGAGCCCUGUGUACCCCUAAUAGCUCAAAGGAUAAUUGCUUUAAUGAAAUGUUGGUUUCUGCCAUACAACAGCGUGAAUCAGCCGUAAGUAUAAGAAAGAAGGGGUGUCGUGGUAAGAACAAUAGGGAGAAUAUUAGAGCAGGUCCUGUUCAUCCUAAUGAAGAUGCAUCGUUGGCACUUGCCUCCCGCAUGGCUGGGAAAGAGCAGUGCAACCAAAAGGCCCCAUCCAGAUGGAGGAGCUCAGUAGAACAUCUGCCUUGCAUGUCUGUCACCUCCCUACCUCCUGCUGCUGUGUUAGCUGCCAGCCAUUAUAGCAGCUCCUGAGUCAAGGGCCCUCCUCUUGUAGUGUUUUCUUGGAGCUUUGACAGAUUAUCUACACUGUCAUUCCCAACAGCAUCGUGCCAUCUUUCUUAAAACUGCAGGAAGAUCCUGAUGGAAAUCUCAGUCCUUUUAAAAAAAAAAAAAAAAACCCUCCAAAAUAAAUUCCAUUAAACUAUAGUUAUGCCUGCAAAUUUUAUAUCAACUGGCAUUAGGCAGUUAGUUCACUGCAUCAACUACAUGGAUGGCCUAUAGCGUCCAUGUGACACUGAAGAAACGAGAGAGCUGUGGAAAAUGCAUUCACCCCUCUCCAUGUCCUCUACCACCAAUCUAAGUCCAAACCAGCCUCAUAUCCUGCCCAGAUUAUUACAGUAGCUGCCUAAUUGAUCUGGUCCAACCAUCUUAGUUAGUCCAAAUCAUCACUUGCCUGAGCAUUACUAAGUAGCCUCCUAACUAGCAUGUUUCCACUCUAGCUCUCCUUAACCCAGUUGAUUUUCCACAUUUGGGCACAUGAAAUAACAUUUUUGAAACCAAAUUCUGAACAUCUGAAUUUUGAUGAAAACCUUUCUAUGGCUUCCUAAAGCUAUUAGAGAUUAUUUACUACUGAUAAAUCAAGAUUGCUAUUGGCACCCUGAAGGCAAUGCAUGAUCUAUCCUUUGCCUAGCUUUUAUCUAAAAACAUCAUUUUCCUUUUUCCCCAUACUUUAGUCGUACCAGCCAUUUAUCUGUUCUGCCAACAUGCUAUGGUCCUUUCUGCCCUAGGGAUAUUGUAAUACUAUUGUUUCAGACUGGAAAUCCUUCCCCAUCUCAUUACACUUCACCUACUAAACCAUCACUUUUCAUAAUUCCAAUUUAAACACCACUUCCUCAGAGAUUCCCUGUGCUCCAUCACCCACUAAUCCUUUCUAUAGUGUCCUUUCCUCUACUUUUGAAGCUCUUAUAGUUUGUAAUUACAUAUCACCAUGAUUAUUUUAUUAAAUACCUAUCUCCCUCCACUAGGCUGUGUUUACCGAGAAGCCAGAAACUUUGCUUUUCUCACUUCUUGAAUCCAGCAUUUUCUGGUUUCAAGCUAGUGUUCAUUAUACUGCUUUCUGAACAGAUUUGUCAAAGAACAAAUAACCAUUUAAAUCUAAAUGACUCUCAAUAUAAACACUGCCUGUAUAAGUUUUUCAAACCUAUGCCAUUUGAUGUAUUUUUAUAUAGGAGAAAUUGCAACAUCAGUAUUUUCAAACAUGAGGCUGAGCUAAGAACUGAACUAAGAGCAAACACCCAUAAUACUUGUUGUCAGUAACACUUUGCAAAACCAUAGACUUUUAUCUACAUUCUUCUUCUCAUUGAAGUUUUAUUCCCCCCCACCAAAAAAAAAAAAAAAUCAACUGUGGACAUCAGCAUCAAGGUAAAAAUGGAACUGACCUAAUCUUCUGCUUUUGUGAGUUUACCUAAUUUAUUUAGUGAAAAUGAAUGUCAACUCGCUUAAUUCUGUUA